rnacentral:misc_RNA from 1 species
GAUGAAGAACGCAGCGAAAUGCGAUAAGUAAUGUGAAUUGCAGAAUUCAGUGAAUCAUCGAAUCUUUGAACGCACAUUGCGCCCCUUGGUAUUCCGAGGGGCAUGCCUGUUCGAGCGUCAUUACACCACUCAAGCACUGCUUGGUAUUGGGCACCCGUCCGCCGAAAGGCGGGCGUGCCUCGAAGACCUCGGCGGGGUUUCACCAACUUCGGGCGUAGUAGAGUUAAAUCAAAACGUCUUACAAGCUUGGUGGGGCCUCAUUGCCGUUAAACCUUUUAUUUUUUAGGUUGACCUCGGAUCAGGUAGGGAUACCCGCUGAACUUAAGCAUAUCAAUAAGCGGAGGA